CGAAAGCCUGACGGAGCAAGACCGCGUGAGGGAGGAAGGCUCUUGGGUUGUAAACCUCUUUUCUCAGGGAAGAAGCUCUGACGGUACCUGAGGAAUCAGCCUCGGCUAACUCCGUGCCAGCAGCCGCGGUAAUACGGAGGAGGCAAGCGUUAUUCGGAAUUAUUGGGCGUAAAGCGUCCGCAGGGGGCUCAUCAAGUCUGCUGUCAAAGGUCGGAGCUCAACUCCGGUUCGGCAGUGGAAACUGGUGGGCUAGAGGGCGACAGGGGUAGAGGGAAUUCCCGGUGUAGCGGUGAAAUGCGUAGAGAUCGGGAAGAACAUCGGUGGCGAAAGCGCUCUACUGGACGGCAACUGACACUCAGGGACGAAAGCUAGGGGAGCG
rnacentral:rRNA from 1 species